rnacentral:rRNA from 1 species
UACGAAGGGGGCUAGCGUUGUUCGGAAUCACUGGGCGUAAAGGGCGCGUAGGCGGCUUUAUAAGUCGGGGGUGAAAGCCUGUGGCUCAACCACAGAAUUGCCUUCGAUACUGUAGAGCUUGAGACCGGAAGAGGUAAGUGGAACUGCGAGUGUAGAGGUGAAAUUCGUAGAUAUCGGGAGGAACACCGGUGGCGAAGGCGGCGACCUGGGUAGAUACUGACGCUGAGGUGCGAAAGCGUGGGGAGCAAACAGG